UGAGGAAUAUUGGUCAAUGGGCGAGAGCCUGAACCAGCCACGUAGCGUGCAGGACGACGGCCCUAUGGGUUGUAAACUGCUUUUAUGUGGGGAUAAAGUGCGUGACGUGUCAUGCAUUGCAGGUACCACAUGAAUAAGGACCGGCUAAUUCCGUGCCAGCAGCCGCGGUAAUACGGAAGGUCCGGGCGUUAUCCGGUUUUAUUGGGUUUAAAGGGAGCGUAGGCUGUCUAUUAAGCGUGUUGUGAAAUAUACCGGCUCAACCGGUGGCGUGUAGCGAGAAUUGGUCGACUUGAGUAUGCAGGAAGUAGGCGGAAUUCAUGGUGUAGCGGUGAAAUGCUUAGAUAUCAUGACGAACACCGAUUGCGCAGGCAGCUUACUGUAGCAUAACUGACGCUGAUGCUCGAAAGUGCGGGUAUCAAACAGG
rnacentral:rRNA from 1 species